UCCUACGGGAGGCAGCAGUAGGGAAUUUUCGUCAAUGGGCGCAAGCUUGAACGAGCAAUGCCGCGUGAACGAGGAAGGUCUUCGGAUCGUAAAGUUCUGUUGAAGGGGAAAAAGAGCGGAGAGAGGAAAUGGUCUCCGAUUGAUAUUACCCUUCGAGGAAGUCGCGGCUAACUACGUGCCAGCAGCCGCGGUAAUACGUAGGUGGCGAGCGUUAUCCGGAAUGAUUGGGCGUAAAGGGUGCGUAGGCGGCCUGCUAAGUCUGGAGUGAAAGGUACCGGCUCAACCGGUACAGGCUCUGGAAACUG
rnacentral:rRNA from 1 species